CAACCCUCAAGCUCUGCUUGGUGUUGGGCCCUGCCAGUCCUGGCAGGCCCUAAAGUCAGUGGCGGUGCCGCCCGGCUCCGAGCGUAGUAAUUCUUCUCGCUCUGGAGGCCCGGGCGCGUGCUCGCCAGCAACCCCCAAUUUCUUCA
rnacentral:misc_RNA from 1 species